ACGCUCGACACCUACGGGAGCAGCAGUGGGGAAUAUUGCACAAUGGGGGAAACCCUGAUGCAGCGACGCCGCGUGGAGGAAGAAGGUCUUCGGAUUGUAAACUCCUGUUGUUGGGGAAAAAGAGGAUGGUACCCAACAAGGAAGUGACGGCUAACUACGCGCCAGCAGCCGCGGUAAUCUGAGCGGGCUGGCAAGGC
rnacentral:rRNA from 1 species